GUGCUCACUUUGGCAGCACAUAUACUAAAAUUGGAAUGCUACAGAGAAGAUUAACAUAGCCCCUACACGAGGAUGACACACAAAUACAUGAAACAUUUCAUAUUUUU
rnacentral:snRNA from 1 species